rnacentral:rRNA from 1 species
AGCAGCCGCGGUAAUUCCAGCUCCAAUAGCGUAUAUUAAAGUUGUUGCAGUUAAAAAGCUCGUAGUUGAAUUUCGGGAUCAAUACGUCGGUCGUGCUUAGGUACGUACUGGCGUAAUUGAUUUCUCCCUUCUGACGAACCAUGAUGUCAUUAACUUGGUGUCAUGGGAAAUCAGGACUGUUACUUUGAAAAAAUUAGAGUGUUUAAAGCAGGCUCACGCUUGAAUACAUUAGCAUGGAAUAAUGAAAUAGGACGUUCGAUCCUAUUUUGUUGGUUUUUAGGAUCAACGUAAUGAUUAAUAGGGAUAGUUGGGGGCAUUAGUAUUCAAUUGUCAGAGGUGAAAUUCUUGGAUUUAUUGAAGACUAACUACUGCGAAAGCAUUUGCCAAGGAUGUUUUCAUUAAUCAAGAACGAAAGUUAGGGGAUCGAAGACGAUCAGAUACCGUCGUAGUCUUAACCAUAAACUAUGCCGACUAGGGAUCGGAUGAUGUUAAUUUUUAAUGACUCACUCGGCGUACCG